UGAACGCUGGCGGCGUGCCUACUACAUGCAAGUCGAGCGAGCGGACGAGAAGCUUGCUUCUCUGAUGUUAGCGGCGGACGGGUGAGUAACACGUGGAUAACCUACCUAUAAGACUGGGAUAACUUCGGGAAACCGGAGCUAAUACCGGAUAAUAUUUUGAACCGCAUGGUUCAAAAGUGAAAGACGGUCUUGCUGUCACUUAUAGAUGGAUCCGCGCUGCAUUAGCUAGUUGGUAAGGUAACGGCUUACCAAGGCAACGAUGCAUAGCCGACCUGAGAGGGUGAUCGGCCACACUGGAACUGAGACACGGUCCAGACUCCUACGGGAGGCAGCAGUAGGGAAUCUUCCGCAAUGGGCGAAAGCCUGACGGAGCAACGCCGCGUGAGUGAUGAAGGUCUUCGGAUCGUAAAACUCUGUUAUUAGGGAAGAACAUAUGUGUAAGUAACUGUGCACAUCUUGACGGUACCUAAUCAGAAAGCCACGGCUAACUACGUG
rnacentral:rRNA from 1 species